UACGGAGGGUGCGAGCGUUGUCCGGAAUCAUUGGGCGUAAAGGGCGCGUAGGUGGCGGGACAAGCGUGCGGUGAAAGCCUGGGGCUCAACCCCGGGUCGGCCGUGCGAACUGUUUUGCUUGAGCACUGUAGAGGCAGGCGGAAUUCCGGGUGUAGCGGUGGAAUGCGUAGAGAUCCGGAGGAACACCGAUGGCGAAGGCAGAUCUCUGGACGCUAGUACGUGACGCUGAGGAGCGAAAGCGUGGGGAGCGAACAGG
rnacentral:rRNA from 1 species